AUGGCAAGGCACUACAAGUCCCUACCCCAUGGCAAGGCACUACAAGUCCCUACACCAUGGCAAGGCACUACAAGUCCCUACACCAUGGCAAGGCACUACAAGUCCCUACACCAUGGCAAGACACUACAAGUCCUUACACCAUGGCAAGGCACUACAAGUCCUUACACCAUGGCAAGGCACUACAAGUCCCUACACCAUGGCAAGGCACUACAAGUCCUUAAACCAUGGCAAGGCACUACAAGUCCUUACACCAUGGCAAGGCACUACAAGUCCCUACACCAUGGCAAGACACUACAAGUCCCUACACCAUGGCAAGGCACUACAAGUCCCUACACCAUGGCAAGGCACUACAAGUCCCUACACCAUGGCAAGGCACUACAAGUCCUUACACCAUGGCAAGGCACUACAAGUCCUUACACCAUGGCAAGGCACUACAAGUCCCUACACCAUGGCAAGGCACUACAAGUCCCUACACCAUGGCAAGGCACUACAAGUCCCUACACCAUGGCAAGGCACUACAAGUCCCUACACCAUGGCAAGGCACUACAAGUCCCUACACCAUGGCAAGGCACUACAAGUCCCUACACCAUGGCAAGACACUACAAGUCCCUACACCAUGGCAAGACACUACAAGUCCCUACACCAUGGCAAGGCACUACAAGUCCCUACACCAUGGCAAGGCACUACAACUCCUUACACCAUGGCAAGGCACUACAAGUCCCUACACCAUGGCAAGACACUACAAGUCCCUACACCAUGGCAAGGCACUACAAGUCCCUACACCAUGGCAAGACACUACAAGUCCUUACACCAUGGCAAGGCACUACAAGUCCCUACACCAUGGCAAGACACUACAAGUCCCUACACCAUGGCAAGACACUACAAGUCCCUACACCAUGGCAAGGCACUACAAGUCCCUACACCAUGGCAAGGCACUACAAGUCCCUACACCAUGGCAAGGCACUACAAGUCCCUACACCAUGGCAAGGCACUACAAGUCCCUACACCAUGGCAAGGCACUACAAGUCCCUACACCAUGGCAAGGCACUACAAGUCCCUACACCAUGGCAAGGCACUACAAGUCCCUACACCAUGGCAAGGCACUACAAGUCCCUACACCAUGGCAAGGCACUACAAGUCCCUACACCAUGGCAAGGCACUACAAGUCCCUACACCAUGGCAACCCUGCCUCCCUACAAGCUAUGGGUAUUGAUCAUAUUCCGGCCUCUAUUAGAAAAGGGCACUACAAAGGUUACACCAUCAAGGACAACUAAAAGCAUAACGGCAAGUCAACUGUAUGUUUGA
rnacentral:lncRNA from 1 species